UAUACAUCACUCUUUUCAGUUAAUUGCUGAUUUGCAUAGUACCUGUUAAUGUGGUAAAAAAGAAUUUGAGCUCAACGUGUUACGGAAAAAUAAUGCUGUUGAUCAUGGAAAUAUGAGGCAAAUGUCUUACUCAGGAUCCAGGAGAAUGUUGCUCGUCUUUACGUCUCGGUGAAUGAUACUAGGAUUGCAUCCUGUGUAUAAUAAUCCUGCUGGUAUGUCCCCGGUAAAUGAGUUAUUCUGUAUGUACCUGGCAUAGAUUCGUUCAUAAAGAUCCGAUGGGGGACAUUUAGUUUCAGUUGGAGAAAUACUGAGCUAACAACGAAAAAUGCUACAAGUUGUUCUGAAAGUAGAGAUGAUGAGCAUUGGUGAAUAAAUGUUACAUACAAUGCUUGUAAACCUGGUAAACUACCCAGGUACGUUGGUAGUGGACCGGUCAAUUUGUUGUUCUCUAGAUGCCUGCAUACAUUAUUGGAAGAAAAUAAAAUGAAAAUGAGAAAGGAAAAAAAAUAAGAACGGUGUUUUCCAAGAUACUAUGUGAAACUACAGAACUUACAUAAUCUUUAGAUUGAUAAGAUUGCUCAUAUCUGGUAGUUGUCCUGUAAGCAAGUUUCUAUCUAACCACCUAAGAAAACAAUAAUGAAUUACAAGUGAAACUAAAAUUAAAAAUAUAAAUAAAAUCAUUUUUUGUUUUGAAGAAUGUUUAACUUACAAUUCUGUCAAGGCUUCCAUGUUGUUGAGCUCUCGAGGGAUUUCACCGGUCAAAUUCCUUCCUGACAAGUUUCUAAUACAAGGUGUAGCAGUACUACAAUUCACCCACUCCCAUGGAGUUGGAACGCAAGGAUCGCCUUCAUUCUUUGGGAUAAUCUCGUCAGACAAGGAGGAAAAUGCAUUUACGAAAUUUGCUGGAAAAGAGAAGUAUGGUUAGUAAUUUGUUCAUUUGAUACAACAUAUGUAAUUGUUGAGUUUCUUCAAUACAUGCACCAGAAUAUCUAUUUUCCCAAAUACAUAGUGAUAUUAAGAACUUACAA